GCGGGAAUGGUGGAAAUGGUAGACACACUUGAUUUAGGCUCAAGGUUUUGGGGGUUCGAGUCCCUCUUUCCGUACAA
rnacentral:tRNA from 2 species